UGGGGAAUUUUGGACAAUGGGCGAAAGCCUGAUCCAGCAAUGCCGCGUGUGUGAAGAAGGCCUUCGGGUUGUAAAGCACUUUUGUCCGGAAAGAAAUCCUUGGCUCUAAUACAGUCGGGGGAUGACGGUACCGGAAGAAUAAGCACCGGCUAACUACGUGCCAGCAGCCGCGGUAAUACGUAGGGUGCAAGCGUUAAUCGGAAUUACUGGGCGUAAAGCGUGCGCAGGCGGUUUGCUAAGACCGAUGUGAAAUCCCCGGGCUCAACCUGGGAACUGCAUUGGUGACUGGCAGGCUAGAGUAUGGCAGAGGGGGGUAGAAUUCCACGUGUAGCAGUGAAAUGCGUAGAGAUGUGGAGGAAUACCGAUGGCGAAGGCAGCCCCCUGGGCCAAAUACUGACGCUCAUGCACGAAAGCGUGGGGAGCAAAACAGGAUUAGAUACCCUGGUAGUCCACGCCCUAAAACGAUGUCAACUAGUUGUUGGGGAUUCAUUUCCUUAGUAACGUAGCUAACGCGUGAAGUUGACCGCCUGGGGAGUACGGUCGC
rnacentral:rRNA from 1 species